CAGCUGUAAAAUAAACGAAACAAUUUUUUUUAAAUAACUACUAUCAAAAGCUUAUCCUUUCAGGGACUUUAUUUACUUUUAAUAGAUAGGUUUUAGAAAUGCGUUUUCGUAUCUGAGCGAUCGGUUGAUCUUAUUGAUCGGUUAAUCUGAAGUAAAGCUUAUUCGUUUAUACUUAAUAUGUAGAUAAGAUCUAAUCUGUGAUUUGAAAUUAAUCUAUAUAAAGUUAUAAAGAUAACACCUCCUUAUAUACAAUGUAUCGGACAUCUAUAAAUAUUUGAACUGCUCGAUGUACAGAUAUAUAAUAACUUAACUAUUCUAGUUAUGUGAAGAAAGCUUCCCGUUCUAAUUGUAUACCAUAAAUGGCAAUUAUAGAUCCCAUAGAUAAAUAGUCGAGAAAGCGGUCGAAAGUCGGUCGGAUUGUAUAUCGUCUUGGGUCAUUGCCAUGGGUGGAGAAAGCUUAUACGUAGCCGGUUUUUUUUCAUUAUUCUUCGUUAAUAGGUACAUCCGAGUUUUGUCUGUGACUGCGUGUCGCGAGAAAUCAUCGCGACGACCAACGUUGCCGUGAAGCAGGAGUUCAUUGCGUUUGCCCACCACCGUUAUCAAAGUUAUUAACCUAACUGCAACUGAAAGAGUGUGUUGGAAUGUCUUCGGACAAUGAAAAAAUAAAAGGAAUAGCGAGUGAGUAAACUAAACUAUGUAAACCAAACCAAACUAAACUAAACUAAAUUAGUCUGUCUGUGAUUCGCGUAAUCGGUCUUCUUGGUAUAACCUUUCUAAAGGGGACAUACAUUCAACAUUAUGCGUAAAUUUUGGCACGAAUGAUAUUUAAUGACAAAAGAAUGAUUGAUAAUCUCAAUUCACAUUCACAACGCAAAGUGGUUUACGAAAGUAUUUAAAUACUAGUAGGCAUUUUUUAUAGAUAUAUUAUGUGUAGAUAUUAUUCAAAACAUUUUGAAGUUUCAUUAGCAAUGGAGAAUCCUGACCAUCAUAAUUAUAUUUGUGAAAAUGUUUUGCAUAGCACAUACACGCAAUAUAGACAUGGAAGUAUUUUAUGAUAAGAGUUCUAAUACUUUCAUAAGCCACCGUGUAUAUAUCUCCGCUCAUAAAAAUUUAUCAGGCAAUAAAUAAAAUCUUUCGAAUGUAAUAUAAGAAUUGAUGAUUAAUCUUGUUCUUUUCGAUAAAAAGUUAAAGUUAGAUGGAGAAAUAAAAUCGGCGACAUCCGGCAUACGAUAUAUUAUUCGAUUUCUUACGGUUUUCGUGACCGUGACUUUUUGAACGUUGCCGCUUGACUUUUUGCUCAAUCGAUAGGUGGAUGUGGUAUCCAUGCGUUACGAGAACACGUGGGUGGUGAUUGCAUCAAGGACGUACCGGCAGUAGGUUUGCACCGACGUUGAUAGGUUCAAGAAAAGAAGAUGAAAGGUUGCCAAAACGCCGAUUGAUGAAGGCUGGUAUUAUAAGCAAUUAAUUUGAUAAUAGGCUCGAACUUUUUUCUAUAUACAUAUAGAACAGGACUUGUAAGUCCAUUAUCUAAGUUAGUAGCAUUAUUAUAAUAACAUU